AUUGAACGCUGGCGGCAUGCCUAACACAUGCAAGUCGAACGAGUGGCGGACGGGUGAGUAAUGUCUGGGAAACUGCCUGAUGGAGGGGGAUAACUACUGGAAACGGUAGCUAAUACCGCAUACCAUCAGAUGUGCCCAGCGGGGAUUAGCUUGUUGGGGGGGUAACGGCUCACCAAGGCGACGAUCCCUAGCUGGUCUGAGGGGAUGACCGGCCACACUGGAACUGAGACACGGUCCAGACUACUGCGGGAGGCACCAGUGGGGAAUAUGGCACAAUGGGCGCAAUCCUGAUGCAGCGAUGCCGCGUGUAUGAAGAAGGCCUUGGGGUUGUAAAGUACUUUCAGCGGGGAGGCGUUACCCGCAGAAGAAGCACCGGCUAACUCCGUGCCAGCAGCCGCGGUAAUUC
rnacentral:rRNA from 1 species